rnacentral:rRNA from 1 species
AUUGAACGCUGGCGGCAGGCCUAACACAUGCAAGUCGAACGGUAACAGGAAGAAGCUUGCUUCUUUGCUGACGAGUGGCGGACGGGUGAGUAAUGUCUGGGAAACUGCCUGAUGGAGGGGGAUAACUACUGGGAACGGUAGCUAAUACCGCAUAACGUCGCAAGACCAAAAAGGGGGACCUUCGGGCCUCUUGCCAUCGGAUGUGCCCAGAUGGGAUUAGCUAGUAGGUGGGGUAACGGCUCACCUAGGCGACGAUCCCUAGCUGGUCUGAGAGGAUGACCAGCCACACUGGAACUGAGACACGGUCCAGACUCCUACGGGAGGCAGCAGUGGGGAAUAUUGCACAAUGGGCGCAAGCCUGAUGCAGCCAUGCCGCGUGUAUGAAGAAGGCCUUCGGGUUGUAAAGUACUUUCAGCGGGGAGGAAGGGAGUAAAGUUAAUACCUUUGCUCAUUGACGUUACCCGCAGAAGAAGCACCGGCUAACUCCGUG